rfam:Loxodonta africana unplaced genomic scaffold scaffold_0, whole genome shotgun sequence.
GUAAUGGUGGUUCGGUGGCAUAAUUCAUGCCUCCCAGGCAAGAGACCCAGGUUCUAUUCCUGACCAAUGCA